CAGCGGCGCAAUGAAGGAAAAAAUAGAGAAAAGAAUAUGGUUAGGAAGCCUUAAGUUCAUUUAAACUAGUCCUAAGAUAGCAUCAUCUUCCAGUUACUCAUUUCUCCUAUACCCUUGUUCCAUUUUAGCUUUCACGCAAUGAGAGCCGGAUGAAAACGCCCCUGCUGCACACCACAAAAGCCACAUUUUGGUAUAAAUCAUAUUAACGAGGUGCACUCCAUCUUAAUAUGCCUCCCCUUCUUGGCAAUGGGGAUGCAACUCCUUCAAAACCUGCCCAACAUUUUAGACGAUUCAGAGCAUUUCACUUCAUUGGCUGCUUUCCAAUUGUCGGACUGAAAUAUUGGACAAAUAUUUGCAAAGAAGGACAUCAGUAAAGAAGCAACCCUUCCAACGAGCAGACCAGGAGUCUCAAAUGAAGAUGCUCAACUUCCAGCCCUGCAGAUGUCUCUGGACAACCAUCUCCGCAAGCUGCAGCCAGCACAACGAACAAGGAGAGCUGAUGGGAGCUAUAGUCUGGUGGCCAUUGAAAAGCCACCACGGAUCUCCCCUCUGAAUGAAAGACAUUUGAAUUGAUGUUUUGUGCUCAGUCUCUCCGUACAAGCGAAAGAAGCGGGUUGGCCAUGCAAACUUACGGCUUCAAUUUCAAGAGCCAAAGCUGCUGGCCUGUUAGCACACACACACACAGAUACGCCUACCCACUGAACAAAAAGUGUGUGUGUAUGGGGGGGGGGCUGCCUCUCAGCAGCCUUGAGCCAAAGACAGGGUCCAAUUAUUCCACAAAGCACAUGACGAUGCGCGCGGCUGAUGGAGAAACAGAGUGCCCCUGUUUCCGUUUUCUUGGCUGGGAACGGCGCAUUAGAUGCCCCUAAUGAUAAAUCACAUCUGACAUUUAAUCUCAACAUAAAAACCAGCCUACUGGGUUGGUUCUUGGCAGUAGUCAAAUAUAUGUAUGUGUGUGCACGGGCAAAUAUGCGUGGAAAAGAAAGCUCUUUUCCCGGCACCCAGAAUGGCCAAAGAUUAAUUUUUCAUAUCUUUUGAAAGGUUAAAAUGCUGAGCUCAUUGACAUCUCGUCCCUCCCAGCUCCUGUCAGAUCACUUUGACUGGGAAAAAAAUACAUUAAUUUUAAGUUAACCAAAAAGCUCGGGUGAGGAGAAGGGAAGCCACUUAUUAGGCUUCCUCAUUUUUUUUGGACCAACGUCACCGAUCUGCCACUUUUGAACAUCCUCCCACCCUUUUUGAGCCAAAAGGAUCCUAUCCCAUGGAAUACACCCCUUUGCACAAAUUCACACCGAGAAGCAACGUUACACAUUUUCCAAAUGAUCCCACUCGCCUCCGUAUAACCAAGUUUUGCCUUGCAAAAAUUGGGAAGUGGAGCCUCCCACCGAAACAGGUCACAUAAAAAUACGUGCGCUUUCCCCGCAACUUCGGAUGUCUUGUUUUGGUCUGUUUUGUGCAUUAUUGGCUGUGGCAGUCAGGAAGUUGGUGUCAGAUGCUCCAGAAGAUACCCACCCCUGUG